rnacentral:rRNA from 1 species
GGAGGAAAAGAAACCAACUGGGAUUACCUUAGUAACGGCGAGUGAAGCGGUAAAAGCUCAAAUUUGAAAUCUGGUACUUUCAGUGCCCGAGUUGUAAUUUGUAGAAUUUGUCUUUGAUUAGGUCCUUGUCUAUGUUCCUUGGAACAGGACGUCAUAGAGGGUGAGAAUCCCGUUUGGCGAGGAUACCUUUUCUCUGUAAGACUUUUUCGAAGAGUCGAGUUGUUUGGGAAUGCAGCUCAAAGUGGGUGGUAAAUUCCAUCUAAAGCUAAAUAUUGGCGAGAGACCGAUAGCGAACAAGUACAGUGAUGGAAAGAUGAAAAGAACUUUGAAAAGAGAGUGAAAAAGUACGUGAAAUUGUUGAAAGGGAAGGGCAUUUGAUCAGACAUGGUGUUUUUUGCAUGCACUCGCCUCUCGUGGGCUUGGGCCUCUCAAAAAUUUCACUGGGCCAACAUCAAUUCUGGCAGCAGGAUAAAUCAUUAAGAAUGUAGCUACUUCGGUAGUGUUAUAGCUUUUUGGAAUACUGUUAGCCGGGAUUGAGGACUGCGCUCGGCAAGGAUGUGC